CAGCAGCCACGGGAAUACGAAGGGUGCAAGCGUUACUCGGAAUUACUGGGCGUAAAGCGUGCGUAGGUGGUUGUUUAAGUCUGCUGUGAAAGCCCUGGGCUCAACCUGGGAAUUGCAGUGGAUACUGGGCAACUAGAGUAAGGUAGAGGAUAGUGGAAUUUCCGGUGUAGCGGUGAAAUGCGUAGAUAUAGGAAGGAACAUCAGUGGCGAAGGCGACCACCUGGACUGAUACUGACACUGAGGUGCGAAAGCGUGGGGAGCAAACAGGAUUAGAUACCCCCGUAGUCCCUGUCUCUUAUAA
rnacentral:rRNA from 1 species